AGCGUUGUCCGGAAUUAUUGGGCGUAAAGAGCUCGUAGGCGGUCUGUCGCGUCUGCUGUGAAAACUCAGGGCUUAACCCUGAGCUUGCAGUGGGUACGGGCAGACUAGAGUGCGGUAGGGGAGACUGGAAUUCCUGGUGUAGCGGUGAAAUGCGCAGAUAUCAGGAGGAACACCGGUGGCGAAGGCGGGUCUCUGGGCCGUAACUGACGCUGAGGAGCGAAAGCGUGGGGAGCAAACAGG
rnacentral:rRNA from 1 species